ensembl:lncRNA
ACUCAGGCUCUGAAGGUCCCAGGUCCUGAGCCAGGACUCUUCAGGUGAGGACGGCAGCAGUUCUGGAGCCCCAACCAGCCUCUAGUGCUGGGCGCUGCCACCUACCUGCUGGGUGACUUUGACUCUCCUGGGACCCCAUUUCCUGGUCUGUAUGAUGGAGUUGACACCACAGCCUCACCGCGCUGUAGGGAGAGCAGAAGAGGGACAGCAGAGCUCAGCGUGCAGGGACGAAUGCACGCGGCGAAGCAGGUACUGUCACUUUCAUUUUGCAGAGCUCAGAGUCGGCAAGAGUUGGCAAGAGCUGUGUCUGAACCCAGUUUGCCCGCUAGCAGCUGCGUACCUUGGGCUCAAGGCUCCACUGAGUCUGAGCUGCCCUGCUGCUUCUUUGAACUCAGGGGGGCAGCAUAGGGAUAAAAUCCCUUAAGGCCUGAGGAGUAGAUGCUCCGGCUCAAACUUCUCCCACCUGCUGACAAGGUUGAGUUCAUCUCAUCACGCGCAUGUUGACUAGGGCUCUUAAUAAGCAAUUCCUGGGGACAAGUUAAGUGCCAGGGCCUGAGCCAGUCUCUGCAAGGAGGCCUAACAAAUCAGGCCCAGGCCAUGCUCCCAGGAAGGGGGAGAGGGACACUUAGUCAGCUCUAUUCCUGGGCCCCAGAAAGGCCAACCAAGAAGGCAGUGUUGUCUUCAAGGUGGGUAAAGGUGUGGAUGGAAGAGGAACAACAGAGGAGACACAGCAGGAGCAAAACAAGGAGAGCAUGUUGCUUCCUCCCAGCCCCUGGCAGUGAGACUUGCUCCUGAGGUGGGAGAGACCCCAGGCGGUGCACGGUGUGCUCAGGACUCUGUGGAGGGAUCCUCCCUGCUAUAAGGAACAGAAGAGCCUACAACCGGCUUUGACAGUCGGGACCUCCACAUCACAUUACAAAAGUUGGGUGUAGGAUAAUUGCUUUAUACUGUUAUGUUGGUUUUCACCAUACAACAACGUGAAUCAAUCAUUUGCUGUUGUUCAGUCAGAGUCUUGUCUGACUCUUUGUGACAUCAUGGACUGCAGUACUCCAGGCUUCCCUGUCCUUCACUAUCUCCAGGAGUUUGCUCAAAUUCAUAUUGAAGGUCUGUGGCAACCCUGCAUAGAGCAAGUCUAUUGGCACCAUUUUUCCAACAGCAUUUUCUCACUUUGUAUCUCUGUGUCCCAUUUUGGUAAUUCCCCAAAUAUUUUGAGCUUCUUCAUUAUUAUUACAUUCACUAUGAUUGCAAUCAGUGAUCUUUGGCGUUAUGACCAUAACUGUUUUGGGGCACCACGAAUUGCUCCCAUACAAGACAGCUAACUUAGUGAGAUAUUGAAAUGAUAACAA